rnacentral:rRNA from 1 species
AAGUGCGAAUGCUGACAUAAGUAACGAUAAAGCGGGUGAAAAGCCCGCUCGCCGGAAGACCAAGGGUUCCUGUCCAACGUUAAUCGGGGCAGGGUGAGUCGACCCCUAAGGCGAGGCCGAAAGGCGUAGUCGAUGGGAAACAGGUUAAUAUUCCUGUACUUGGUGUUACUGCGAAGGGGGGACGGAGAAGGCUAUGUUGGCCGGGCGACGGUUGUCCCGGUUUAAGCGUGUAGGCUGGUUUUCCAGGCAAAUCCGGAAAAUCAAGGCUGAGGCGUGAUGACGAGGCACUACGGUGCUGAAGCAACAAAUGCCCUGCUUCCAGGAAAAGCCUCUAAGCAUCAGGUAACAUCAAAUCGUACCCCAAACCGACACAGGUGGUCAGGUAGAGAAUACCAAGGCGCUUGAGAGAACUCGGGUGAAGGAACUAGGCAAAAUGGUGCCGUAACUUCGGGAGAAGG